CCCUGCAGGCAGCAUCGCCGCCAUUACGGUGACGGUCAUUGCCGUGGUGUUGUUGGUGUUUGGAGUCGCAGCGUAUCUGAAGAUCAGGCAUUCCUCCUACGGAAGGCUUUUGGAUGAUCAUGACUACGGAUCCUGGGGCAACUACAACAAUCCUCUGUACGACGACUCCUAACAAAGGAACGUGGCCGGGAUGAGGAAGAACUGUUGUUUAUUUAUAAAGUGCUUUCCCAGUAGAAUUAAUACAAGUACCUGAUAUGCAUUGAGCGACAAUCUCUUAAGCCCUGUUUCAUUGGUUUGUUUGGUUUUCCUCCCUCUCCUCUGGCUGCUAUAACUUCCCCUUUCUGCAAAAAGAAUCAUUGUUUAAAGGUGAGUGGAGGCUUCUUUGCAGCUGAAAUGGGCCAGCCUGGAGCCGGACCACCGUGGUGGAAGCUUCCAUACCCGCUGCAGGAUCCACCUUAAGAGGGACUGAGGGCCAGGGAUCGAGUCGUUCCAUCGGGGGCUACUUUUAGGGGAACUUUUUGUUGGUGGUAUUUCUCAAACUUUUUAGUUAGGAAAUUACAUUCAAUCUCAAUGAGGGGAAAGGAAAUGAGUACUGGGAAGACUUCCCCUUCAGGUGAGGGCGCAGGGGAUGCUCCGAUUCCUUUUUAAUCUCUGUUUGUAUCUGCCAGGAUCCCUGCUUGGCUUUGCGAGUGGGAUCCCGGCUUCUUAACUGCCCAGUUAGUGGAAGAGAAAACCGGAAGGCACCCCGGGGAGGCCAGGAGGCCGAGGGACAGCUAGCAUGUUGCUGUCAGAUCGCAGCAUGCCCUCUACCUGUUCUCCCCUCCAGGCUGCCCAUCUCUGCUCUGCUCGGGAUGCCCCUUCUGGUCAGCUGCAGCCGGCUGGCAUCCGGCCUCGGGGGCUCUCCGCAGGAGAAGGCUGGGAGAGGAGUUUAGUUAGAGAAGAGAAAGGGGGAGGCGUGGGAGGGAGCGAGCGCUGGGGCAGUGGAGGAGGCUGGGAAGGGAGGGCACGGAGGUCCACCUGGGGGAAACGAGGAAUCAGCCCCCAAUAACUAACAGAGAUAUCCACUGCUCUGAGGAACCUCUAGAAAGAAUCCUUGCUUUAUACCCACAAAACAGCUAGCUCACUGCCUUACUGUCUGUUGGAUAAUGGCUGUAGACUGUUUUGUAAAAAACUGUGAAGGCAUUAGUCUAUCUGCGGUUGCUCAGUGAGGCAUUUCCAUAGGAAACAGACACCACGAUUAAUCCAUCUAUUCUUCCUGUUCACUUACCUUACUAAUUCUGCCCUCUAAUUAACGAACACUCCCAGGUACAUGGUCUUCAAAUCCUCGAUCUCGAAUUUUGAAAAAGAACUGAUAUUGUUUGCAGAUGGCCAUUUACUGCAGUGGGUAUCAACCGGCAGACAAUUUUGCUCCCCAACGUUAGCCAUUUAAAAAUGUCUCGUGUCAUUUUUGAGUGUCACAACCUGGGGGUGCCACUAGUAGAUAGAGGCCACGGACGCGCUGAACAUCCUACAAUGCACAAGACAGCCCACUACAACAAAGAAUUGCCUGGCCCAAAAUGUCGGUAGUGCUGAGUUUAAGAAACCCUGGUUUCAUGAAAUGCCCCUUGUGACAAAACAACACACUCCCAGCUUAGUAACAUUUUUUAUUUUUACCUAAAUGAAAUGAUUUGUUAAAUUGUUACCUAAGAAGUAUUCAGUUUGUUGGCUGAUGGGUUGUUUUGGCAUGUGUGGUUGCCUUUUUAUUUCUGUGUGUUCUCUAGAUAGCUUUAUUUCGUAGCUAGAACUCUAUCCUCCCGAAACACCUGAUGUUAGUAACCGGCAUCUUGUGUCCUGAUUGGAGUAGGAAACUUCACGGAUUAGGAAGCAUCCAUUGGGUCCUGAUUCGGAAUACAUUCUCUUGUCCUACAGUGUCCUACAGUGUCAUAAAGAACUUGAAACUGGAUCAAUUUUUAUUUCUAAACUUGGACUUGCUGCCAUGGCUGUUCUCAGAAAUCUGACCCUCAGCUCAACCUAUCACUCGCUGUGGUCCAGCAAAGUACUGACAUGAAGACCACUGUUGCCAUGCUGUUCGGAGAUGCUAGGAGCUGUGCUGCUCUCCACAGCCUGCCUUCCCACACUCUGAAAUUAUUCCUAAACUCCUUACAUAUCAAAGGAGAAUGAGCAAGCCCCAGAGGUACUUUACAACAGGACCAGGUAAUGAGAAGUAGGCUGUCAGGAAAUCUGAUUAGCUCUGAUUAUUAAAAAACAGACAAACAAAAUGGACAUUCUCAGAAAAAUGGCCAGGGAUGACCCAUGUUGCCCCCUCCGGCUGUGCCGGGCCUGAUUGUCUCUCUUCCCUAUCCUCCCCGCUUUAUACAGCCUGUAGGCCUUCAGUUUAGCAAAGGACAAUUCAAUAAAAACAGGACAUCCCUUUAUUUUCUCCCUUGGCCACAAACAUUUUGACAAAAUGUCCAUGAAACAGCUAGCUUUAGAGCGUUGCUCUCCUGGAUACUGCUCCUAUUAUGACCACAGACUCAGUAAGCAUCUUCCCUUACCAGAGUCUUCUGUUGUGCAAGAGCACCUGAUGGGUUUGUUGCUCCUGUUAACUUCCAAAUCCUUAUGGCAAAGAGAGGGAUCUGGGCCUAAAGCAAAUAUAUUCAGCAAGGUGACAGCUUCCCAUAAAAAAACUCUAACCCUCCUUGUCAUGGCAGUAUAAAAUACCUCCAGGGUGAACCUUAUUUUGCCAAGUACUUUUUUUCUGAGUUGGCCAAAGAAUUUGAACUGUAUUCAACACAUGUUGCUUGAAACACACACACACACACACCUGAAAUACAUGCUGAUAUUUGAUGUCAGGGAGAUAUUCUGUCCAGGUCUGCGCAAGGGAAAUUGCUCCAGUGGAUCUAAAAAACAACCACUUUCAUCCAGGAAUAGGACUAGUCAUAAAGUGAUAGACUGUCAGAGCAGGAAGGAGGCAAGCAGCCUCUUCUAGACCAUAGAUUGCAAAUGAUGAAGAGUGGGAUUCAACUUUGUUUUCUUUUCUCUUGGCCCCAGUGAAGUCUCCUGCCCUCCCUGGAUGCCUGUCUUCAUUUCUUAAAUGAGGGUGAUGCUUUCAUAUUGACCUCACCCCAUGCUACCUCACAAAUGUGUUGUGAGGAUUCAUGAAAUGAUGUCUACAGUGUUUUCAGUUUCUGGAGAGAAAUAUUUAUAGACAUCUUAAGUAUUACAUAGGUAUAUAAGUGAUCUCAGUUUCAGUUUCUUGUUUGUAGUUAUACUGGUGUGUUGUUCUGACUUAAAUCUAUAAAACAACAGCCGUAUCUUGGCCACAUCAGGCAGCUGUCCCAGCUCUGAGCUACCCCCCAGUGCAUCUGACUGCAGGGUGAACCAUGCCUGGGACCAGGAGAAUGGUUUCCAUCUCCAAAUGAAAAGAUGUCCCAGGACCUAGGUCUCACAGACUAUCGAGUUAGGAUCCAGAAGGUUAGGGUAAUAUAGGAAGGAUACCUGAGCACUGAUAGCAGUAGGCCUCUGGCCUUCACCAUCCUGAAGUCUUCUGAGUUCUUUGUGGAGUUGAUUUUGGUUUGAUGUCAUCCGUUUGCCCUUCAUCUUGCUUGCAAGGGUGCACGGUUCAAUCCCUCACGUAUGGGAAAUGAAUUUUGCAACUGCGCCGUGUUGAUUUGCACGUUGGAUUCACCCUCUUUGCCUUUAACCUCUUUUUGGCAAACGAAUGUACCAUUUCAACUUUGAUUUUAAAAGUGCUAGUUGGUACUGCUAAGAGUGGUAACCGAGAGACCAACGCCACAUUGCUUUCUCGGGGUGAGUUAGCCAACAUCAUCUAACGAUGGAAAGAUGUGCAACUUCUUUGAUAUUUGAUGUCAUUGUAUCUACAUUUGUUGUAAGACAUAUUGCAUACUAAUUAUAUCGAUUAAAGUUGUUAAAAGCUUGCACCUGACAGUGGUGACUCACAUUUUGAUAUGUUUUGUUAUUCAGGACAUUCAGUUGAUAUGCUCCUAUUAAGUACCUUUGACUUGUUCUUAAAGAAAAUCUAUCCCCCAUCAAUAAAUAAUAUUUUCUGCACA